rnacentral:rRNA from 1 species
GUAGGUGGCAAGCGUUGUCCGGAUUUACUGGGCGUAAAGAGCGCGCAGGCGGUCGUUCAAGUCGCGUGUGAAAGCCCCCGGCUCAACUGGGGAGGGUCACGCGAUACUGAUCGACUCGAAGGCAGGAGAGGGAAGUGGAAUUCCCGGUGUAGUGGUGAAAUGCGUAGAUAUCGGGAGGAACACCAGUGGCGAAGGCGACUUCCUGGCCUGUUCUUGACGCUGAGGCGCGAAAGCUAGGGGAGCAAACGGGAUUAGAUACCCCGGUAGUCCUAGCCGUAAACGAUGGACACUAGGUGUUGGUGGUAUCAACCCCGCCAGUGCCGAAGCUAACGCAUUAAGUGCCCCGCCUGGGGAGUACGGCCGCAAGGCUA